rnacentral:rRNA from 1 species
CCUACGGGAGGCAGCAGUGAGGAAUAUUGGUCAAUGGCCGGAAGGCUGAACCAGCCAUGCCGCGUGAAGGUCAGUGCCCUAUGGGCGUUAAACUUCUUUUGUGCGGGAGCAAUAAUGGUCACGUGUGGCCAGACGAGAGUACCGUACGAAUAAGCAUCGGCUAACUCCGUGCCAGCAGCCGCGGUAAUACGGGGGAUGCAAGCGUUAUUCGGAUUUAUUGGGGUUAAAGGGUGCGUAGGCUGUGAGGUAAGUCAGCGGUGAAAUGCCCCCGCUCAACGGGGUGAAGUGCCAUUGAUACUGCCUUGCUGGAAUGCGGAUGCCGUGGGAGGAAUGUGUGGUGUAGCGGUGAAAUGCAUAGAUAUCACACAGAACACCGAUUGCGAAGGCAUCUCACGAAUCCGCGAUUGACGCUGAUGCACGAAAGCGUGGGUAUUAAACAGGAUUAGAUACCCCAGUAGUC